AUGGUUCAGCAGGAUGUUCAGGGCCUUAAAGCACAGUCAGCAGGACUCAGCAUCUCCCAGCACCUGCUCUCCGGUUGUCAUGGUAACAUCAUCCCCAACCCAACCACCUUGUCCAGCCGAGAGACAGCAAUCAUAAGGAGGGACCUCGGUUUCCCCCGAGGAUCCUGGGCUUCCUUUCUGAAACGCUUGCUUCUGAGCUCAGCAACCAGGAACACCAGGCCAGCCCAUCCCCAGCACCUCUGUGGAGAUGAGGGACAAAGUCCUACAGUCCCUCUUCCUGUUCUGAUGAGAAAGGGAGGGAAGAAAACAUACCCCGAGCGCCUGCAAUAUGGUCAUGACACUUUCAAAAAGCCUGUGCUAUGGAGUCAUGAUCAGAAACCAGAGUGUGGAGAGGGUCAGCAGCCUGCCUCAGAGCAGCCAGCUAGGCGGGGAGUGGUAAAUUUGGGACUUGUACCCAGGCAUGACUGGCUCCGAGCCCAGUGCUCCACUCUAUGGAAUGUUCCCUGGGCCUCAGUUGCUUUCCUUUCCUUUGCAGGCCGCGGGCUGCUGCCACUCUGGCAGCUGGUGAGU
rnacentral:lncRNA from 1 species